GUUUUAUCAUAAUUUUACUUUUUGAAAAUUAUGCUAUUUUGUGACUAAGGCUACGUCUCAUGUACUUUCCACCAAUAGUAUACGAUAUCAAUGGAUUCUAGUUAAUCCUUUUGGGUAAGAUUGGAACUAACUCUGUGUUUGGUAGAUAAAGUUAUAUGACUAACUUGUCCAAGUGUUGAGAAACGGGCCCCUGCUGAGUACAUGUAGGCCUAGAGUUUUUAUGCCCCCACAGACGAAGCCCAGAGGGGGCAUUAAGCGUUGCCCCUGUCCGUCCCCCCCCCCACUUGGUUUCCGCGCAAUAACUCGAAAAAUAUUUAAUGGAUAAAAAAAAAAUUCGUGUGUAGGUAGAUGACCACAAAAUACAGGCUAAGUUCGAAUUCGGAGUCCGCAGGUCAAAGGUCACAUCUCAUUAUAUAUGUAAGUCGGUUCAAAGGUCUAAAUUUGUUAAUUAUAUAUAUAUGCAUAUUGGUUUCUGCAUGAUAUUAAGUUCAAUUAUAUUGAAUGGAUUUCUGAUCGCGUUAAGCGGGGGCAUCUGUGUCCUUUGGACACGUCAAAUUUUCUUAAUUAUGUGUAAUUGAUUUUAUGACAUGUGUUUACAUUUGCUGCAGAUUCCCAUUCAGCCGUUGGACUGAACCGGUACUGUAACACAGUAUGGAUGGUCAAUAUGAAGCGAGCUUCAUUGAAUUCCUCCAAGAGCUCUGUACUCCGUUUUGCUCAUUUUGAAGAUGGUUGCUUUGACAGGACUGGGCAAGUGACUCGUCUUAGACAGGAUGCUGUCCCAACCAUAUUUGAUUUCCUGCCUCGUCUUCAGAAGAAUUCACCCAAGCCAAGGAAUUCCCCGGAAGAAAGACGUUUUGAGUCAGCAAACAACCUCCCAGAUACUGCAAAGUCUUCAGCACCUUCAUUUCACGAGGACCACUCCUACUCAAUAUCAGAAAGUCCAAGAGGGGUAAAGUGGAAGAUAACUGCAAUAAUGGACUAUUAAAAACUUGGAGAAGAGGCUGAAACCACACAGCAGAAGUCCCGCCGUGUACAUUACUUGCUCUUAAGUUUGGACAAACAUGACUCGCAAAACUUUACAACAAAUAAUUUACGCUAUGUGCAUUCUGAUUAUUUAAAAUAGCUCAAUGAAAAAGUUUACCACUGGGCAUGUAACAAAAGUGCAUUCAUUAAAUUUGAACGUGUUGCAAAAA